rnacentral:rRNA from 1 species
UUCGGGGUGAGUGGCAGACGGGUGAGUAACGCGUGGGAACGUGCCCUUCAGUUCGGGAUAACCCAGGGAAACUUGGGCUAAUACCGGAUACGUGCGAGAGCAGAAAGAUUUAUCGCUGAAGGAUCGGCCCGCGUCUGAUUAGCUAGUUGGUGGGGUAAUGGCCCACCAAGGCGACGAUCAGUAGCUGGUCUGAGAGGAUGAUCAGCCACAUUGGGACUGAGACACGGCCCAGACUCCUACGGGAGGCAGCAGUGGGGAAUUGUUCGCAAUGGGCGCAAGCCUGACGACGCAACGCCGCGUGGAGGAUGAAGAUCUUCGGG